rnacentral:rRNA from 1 species
CCCUUAGAUGUCCUGGGCCGCACGCGCGCUACACUGAGUGUCUGAGAUACGAGUCUGCCUGGUCCGGCAAGGUCUAGGUAAUCGCUAAAAGACACAUCAUGCUUGGGAUAGAUUAUUGCAAAUAUUAAUCUUGAACGAGGAAUUCCCAGUAAGUGCGAGUCAUCAGCUCGCGUUGAUUACGUCCCUGCCCUUUGUACACACCGCCCGUCGCUACUACCGAUUGGGAAAAUUUUAGAGAGUCCUGGACUGAUGAUUGUUCGGCUUCACGGCCUUACUUUCGUCGGGAAAGAAUUCGAUAAUAUUUUUCUAGAGGAAGUAAAAGUCGUAACA